rnacentral:rRNA from 1 species
CCUACGGGGAGGCAGCAGUGGGGAAUAUUGGACAAUGGGCGAAAGCCUGAUCCAGCCAUGCCGCGUGUGUGAAGAAGGCCUUCGGGUUGUAAAGCACUUUCAGUGGGGAAGAAAGCCUUGGGGCUAAUACCCUCGAGGAAGGACAUCACCCACAGAAGAAGCACCGGCUAACUCCGUGCCAGCAGCCGCGGUAAUACGGAGGGUGCGAGCGUUAAUCGGAAUUACUGGGCGUAAAGCGCGCGUAGGCGGUCUGAUAAGCCGGUUGUGAAAGCCCCGGGCUCAACCUGGGAACGGCAUCCGGAACUGUCAGGCUAGAGUGCAGGAGAGGAAGGUAGAAUUCCCGGUGUAGCGGUGAAAUGCGUAGAGAUCGGGAGGAAUACCAGUGGCGAAGGCGGCCUUCUGGACUGACACUGACGCUGAGGUGCGAAAGCGUGGGUAGCAAACAGGAUUAGAUACCCUAGUAGUC